rnacentral:lncRNA from 1 species
AGGCUGUCAUGUUUAAAAACUUAACGUUUAGUUAGUAUUUUCAUUAAAAAAACAACAAUUCGUCUAUUUUGAAAGAUUGAUGGUCAAAUUUGACUCUUUUCAAAAAGGUUGAGAAAUAAUUUUAACUCGAAAAAGAAGAAGAAUAAAGGCCAAUUUGAUAAAAGAUGUAAACAUCGAAUGCUAAAUUUGGCAUUAUACAGUCAUUAUAAAAAUAAUGGAUAAAUAUCAAAUCUAUACAUAAACUUUGAC